UAUAUAUAUGACGUGUAAUCUACACAGGUCCGUUGAAGAUCUUAUGAUUCAACUCAUUUUACUUAUAUUAGCAGUCUCGUUUAUUACUAAAUGAGUUUUGUACCCAAAGGGAUGUUCAGGAUUCGAAAUAACACCUCUUUUAACUUUUGAGGUUUAUCUCUACUUCCCUUGCCCAGCAAUGGGUGGGGAAAACUUAUACAUAUUUUUAUCCAUCUCAUCAUUACCUCAACAGAUAAUUGGUGCAGCGGCAGUACUUGGAUUUGGAGAGAGCAAAUUUUCUCCAUCUGAUACAAAAUAUAUAAAAACGUGAUUAGCUGAUUUAUUUGGAGUGAUGCUUUCCAAAUCUGGUGACUAAAGUAGAUAAUACCUAUCAGCUAGAUGAUGGAUUCAAAAUGGAAACUUCGUGGAAAUUGAUUGCCAUGCUAUAAAUUCUCAUUAUUAGCCAUGUGAAGAAAGUUUACAGGUCUAGGAACUCCAUCAGCUUGAGUGUAGUCAUCUGCUUUGAAAAUGAAACAAUAAUUUAUGAAAUGUACCCUCCCAUCACUUUUGUCUAUAUCCUCAUUCUUGUAAACUAAUCUGAUUGGAACUUAUUAUUUCAGGUCGGAUCUGUGACAGCUAUAUGCUUCAUUUGUUUCCUAAUAAGGUGCUUUGUGGUAAGGUCAAAAUUGCCUUUCUUUAUUACAUUUAUGCAAGUUAGUGGCUGUUUAAAAUUUGACAUUAAUGAGUUGAAUAGAUUUGAUCAUUUUGCUCAUCUCUGGUUUUAUCAAUGGUGUUAAUAGAAUCUCCGUGCUUCUGCAAGUAUAGAAAGCUCCUUUGUCUUAGUCAUUAUGCAUCAUUCACAUAAUGAAUGCAUUUGUUUUUAUUGUUAUUGCUUCCAGAAGAAAGGGGAAGGGAGCUGGGAUGAAACCAAGGAAAAUAUCUCCCUUCCCUCAUCCAUAUAAAGUGUGUGAAUCAUCUUGUUCUCUCCUUUAGAAUGACAUCCUUUUAGUCCCGUAGUUUUCAUAGUUUCCAUGUUUUGAGCAUAAUUCUGAGACAAUACCCACCUUUAGAAUGACAUCCUUUUAGUCCUUCGUUUUCAUAGUUUUCUUGUUUCGAGCAUAAUUCUGUGACCCUGUGUGGUAAUGCAGUUUUUAAGUAACGGUUGUUUGCCUAAUACAAAAUCUAAAAUCCAAGGUUGUCUGGUUAUUCCGUACCUUCAUGCAGGAACUCAGAUUUAAGAAAUAAAGGAAAUUAUUAUUAACUACCUAUAAUGGACAAGACUUGUCCAAUAGCCUUAAUGGCAAGCCCAAACAUAUUUUUUGGAAUUACCAAUGUCUCCAUUAUUGGGAUUUUGAUAAUGAGAAAUGAAAUGCACAUUUGGGACUCCCAUUCCCACAUACCAAACUCAAUAUACGUGCAAAAUCAUGUAUAUGAUUGAUUAGAUUUUGUGCGGCUGCAAUGAAAAAUAUGUAUAUAAUUACAAGGGCAUUGUGAGGGAGGAAAUGUCACUCAUUGCUUUCCUCUAGAUGCUGUACAUUUUACAUCAACAGAACAUUUUAUCUGUAACUUGUGUUCUCUACAGGUUGCGCUAUCUGCUUUUGAUUCAAACGCAUCACUAGAUGUAUUGGACCAUCCAGUUCUGAAUUUAAUCUAUUACACGGUACACAACUUUGUACCUUGUUUUCUUUUUUCGCCAAUUGUUUUGACAUAUUUAUUACGAAACAUGUCUUAUAUGAAACAGUUGGUCGAGAUUCUCCCUUCAGCUCUUGUGUUGUACAUCUUGCGUAAGCUGCCUCAAAAAAAAGUAUCAGCCCAGUACCACCAGAUCCAUUAGUAGGGCAAGCAUUGUUGGUUGAGUUACUAUUUUCUUGAUUCCCACGGUUCUAGUGUUGGAAGUUUAGUAGACUCGAGCCGAAAAAGGGAAAGAAAGAAGCAAAAGCCUGGAAAACUAUCCUUGUGUAUUAUAUUUUUGUGGGAGUGGUGUCUACAACUAGGUUUUGAUUUAUUGAACUCAAGAUACUGCAUGUUAAUGACAAUUAGAAAAUGUAAAAAUUAGGAGGAGAUGAAAUGAAGCGUGGUAUGUGAUUGUAAAUCUCCUUAAAUUAGAAUUCGUCUCUGCACUGAUGUUAAUAGGAUCAAAUGAAUGCACGUCUUUCAUGAUGCA
rnacentral:lncRNA from 1 species